GCAGAGGAGUCAAGAGUCGCAAGGCUUGGUUAUGCAUUUUCACUUGCCUCACGACGCGCUGCCUUCAUAUCGAGAUAGCGACGGAAUUGAGUACCGCCAAUUUUUUGGCUGCUUUAAAGCGCUUCUUGGCGCGGCGUGGCCCCGUACAAUGCAUAUAUUCGGACAAUGGGACUAAUUUUACUGGUGCUAACUCUUACAUGCGUGACCUCUACAAGUUUUUACACGGUCAUCGUCCACAUUUGGAGAUGGAGCUCGCGGAGAACCGCAUUGAUUGGAAAUUCAUUCCUCCCGCUUCUCCACACUUCGGAGGCGCAUGGAAAAGCAUGGUGAAAAUAGUAAAAAAUCACCUUUUCAAGGUAAUCGGUACGCAAAUACUGUCAUAUGAGGAGCUUCUGACUACGCUUGCGCAGAUAGAGGCCCUUGUAAAUUCGCGACCACUGACAGCUCUGAGUAGUGAUCCCGCUGAGCCUUCAGCUCUCACCCCGGCUCAUUUCCUCAACACUGCUCCGCUGUUGUCCUUACCUGCUCCAUUGGUCGAGUCAGGUAAUUUGCGUGACCGACAUGCACUUCUGGAUAAGAUAGUGCAGUCCUUCUGGCAACGUUGGCGUGCAGAAUAUCUGCAUCAGUUGCAGUCUCGAGCUAAAUGGACCACGCCAUCAGUUCCUAUCGUAACUGGCACAGUGGUUGUCAUAAAAGUAGAUAAUGCGCCGCCAUUUUCAUGGCCUUUAGGCGUCGUAGAGGCAGUACAUCCUUCGAAGGACGGCUCAACCCGCGUUGUCACUGUCAGGACAAAUAAAGGAAGUUUCGUCCGUCCUGUCGUGCGAUUAUGCCCUCUGCCUAACCAAUAAUUAAUAGGAGUAUACUUCGUUAGAAUAAUACUUUUUCUUUAGUUCAUUAUUUCGCUAUAUUAUUGUGAAUGUUCGUUUAAUUUGAUGAUAAGGGUUAUUAUUUAUUAUAUUUAGUUUUUCUUUCCUUUAAAGGAACCCUUUAAGGUCGGGGGGAAAUGUUCGCGCCCUUUUUCAUUCAUUAUCAUUCAUAUUCAUCCAUCUCGCUCGCUUUUCUUUCAUACUAUCUACUCUAUUCAACCUCAUUUUUAUUCUCAUAUCACCCGCCUUUUUGCCGACCUACUUAAACGCAAAAUAAAGAAGCUAAAAAUUUAAAGACAUGUCAAUUGAUGGACAACGUCAAUGAAGUGAAAAAUCAAUAUACUUUUUUCCUGAUAAUAUGAAUAGAAUAAUACGAUGAAAUAAUUAUAAUAAACGAGAGUGAUAAACGUGAGUGUGAAGGAGUAAGGAGAGAGAAGAACGAACCAAAAAUUAAAUACGGCGGCCGCCGUUAACAAAUCGGAAUCUAUACCCAGGAAGUUGUCAACGUCAAGAAUAUAGAAAACCAAGAAAACAUGAAGAAAUCAAAUAUCGAACGCAGUUUGAAGUAGGACUACGCGAGUUAAAAGAGUUCGCACGUGAAAGAUAAUUACCAAGUAGGUUCUAGUACUUGAUCAACAAUUCAAACGUGAUAGAUAUUAGAUACCUAUACUAAUCAUUUUAAGUGCAGUCGCCAUCAGAUAUAUCGGAGCGGCCAAGGUGGUCACAAAUAUCUGAACAACGCUAUUCUCAAGGCGAUAAAGUGCAUGUUCAGAUAUUUUGAGUGCCUUCGCCGCUCCGAUAUAUAUGAUGGCGACUGUACAGUCGCCAUCAGAUACAUCGGAGCGGCCAGGGUACUCAAAAAUAUGCGAACAAGCACUUUAUCGCCUUGACAAUAGAGGCGUAGGGAUGUGACGACCCCAUCGCCCACUGGUUUUCACCAGCGCAAUCAGUCAACGCAGGGCAGCUUGUGGCGAGCUGUUGGAGAGUAGCGACUCCACGUACCUGAGUGCCCCUGGGGUGCCCUGUCGGAUGGUGGGACAGGUCCCCUGCCUCUGGCUUGCCUUAGCCGGCUGUCCAGAGUGGGGUCGUUAGAGCUUUGUUCUCGAGGGUAGAUGUGGAAACCUACGUGGCGAGUUGGCUAUAUGUUUAAAGUCCAGUGACACCUCUCUACCCCCAGCUCCCGCACCGGUGUUGCCCUUGAGCCAUCUUUGAUGUCGCUUUUUAUGGGGGCCCAUCUUGCGGAGGGCGAGUCACCGUCUGCCGGAAAUAAAAUUGGAUACCGUUUUAUUAGGCAGGCGUCCGGUUCUUCAUCCAAUAGCCCAGUAAUCAGUCCAUACUAUUCACCCAAUAGCCUAGUACAUUUUAGACUCCAUUAACUCUCAAUAGUCCUUACACCAUGGCGGGUGCUGUCGCUUAGUGUACCCCUCUCUUUUCAUUAAAUUGUCAAAAGGGCCUCUGCGCGUUGGCUUCGGCUCCGCAUACGCCUCCCAAAGGUCCGGAACACCAUUGUUCCGUGGUCGGGAAAGACAUACA